rnacentral:lncRNA from 1 species
UUCCCCUGGGCCCUUCGUUUUAAAUUGCCCAGUCUGCAGAGUUCGGGUUGAUCUAGUAGGAGACGAGGCAUAGUCACCCGUCUUUUCGGCCAGUUUUCAUCAGUAGGUUACCUGUUCGACCUACUCGUGUUUUCUUGCUUCCGCUUGUGUUUAGUAGCUCUGAAUACUUUAGAAUUUUUGUAUAUUAUGUGAUGUUCAGAAGUGUAAUAUGAAAUUUUCGAGUUAGGGUUGUCCAUCUACAAGGGAGAUUUUCUUAAUCUUUUCAGUAAAUUUUCCUUGGAGGUGGUCCCCGCACGACUUAUUCUGGGUUUCAGGGUGAAAUUCGGGGUGGGUCGUGUCACAGUCACUCACCUAUGACCUAUCCGGCUAUCCCUCUUCCCCUCUGCGGCUCCGCCUCCACUCCCCUCCAGUCCUCCACGGCUCCACCAUAAUCUCCUUCUUCCCGGCCUCCUCCGGUCCUCCCCGAUAGCGACGACUCGCCUCCGGCCCUCCGCCUCCACUCACCUACAAAAAGUAGGCAUAAUCUCCUUCUAUCUCUUUCUUCUUAUAUAGAAUCUGAAAUUGUAAGUUAUGGUUGAGCUCCUACACUUUGCAUGGUUGUACUGGAAAAAAAAAAAUUUGCCUUUCGGCCAAAGUUCAAGCCCACCCUAUCUUUAAAUCCUAGAUCUGCCACUGUUCAAGAAACCAUAAUUCUAAGUUGAGUUUCUAGCGUUGUGCUCAAAGCAGAUGAAACAGAAAUAAGAGAGAACUAAUGAAGGGAAAUGAGAGACGGAGAAAAUGACAUGGACUUAAUUAACGCUGGAUUGAUACAAAUUAAAAAAAGGGUAUCAGCAACAUUAAACAAAGACUCGCGAUUUAUGAAAUUCAGUACAACCUACGCAGGGAAGAAGAACUAGAUCCCUUCUUGUACUUUUCUGCUACCUUGAUCAUCGUCUCGACUUCGACGUUAGACCGCCUCUAUAAUUCGAAAUGGUGAUCAUGUUCUUUAUCCCUAGCCGUUUUUCCUCAGCGGAUACAAUCAAAAUUCCAUUGGCAUCGAUCUCAAAACAAACAAUGAUUUGAGGCUUACCUUUUGGACCAGGAGGAAUACCAUCAAGCAAACGCUCACCCAACAAUCUAUUUUUUUUGGCUAUGUUUUCUUCGCCCUCAUAGACAGGAACCAUCAAAGUAGGUUGGUUAUUUAUGAAAGUUGAGCCAAUUUUAGUUUUCUUGGUGGGAAUGGUAGUGUUCUUUGGGAUGAAAACCAAAAAAUUUCCCCUGUGAGUCUCUAAACCAAUAGAAAGGGGAGUUACAUCCAACAAGAGUAAGUCCUUCUCAAUGCCACCCUACAAAAGUGCAGCUUGUACCGCAGUGCCAUAUGCAACUGAUUCAUCAGGAUUGAUACUACUCUUGCAAAGCUCCUUACCAUUAAAGAAGUCUCGCAAUAGCUGUUGUACCUUGGGAAUUCUACUAGAUCCACCAACAAGUACAAUAUCUUGAAUACUAUUCUUAUCCCUUUUAGCAUCCCCAAGACAUUUCUCCACAUUCUUCAUGCAUUUUCUAAAGAGAUCCAUGUUGAGCUCUUCAAAUUUUGCUCUUGUUAUUUUAGAGUGGAAGUCGAUGCCUUCGAAUAAAGAAUCUAUUUCAAUGGUUGUUUCAAUAAUUGAAGAAAGAGUCCUCUUUGCUCGCUGACAAGAUGUUCUCAAUUUUCUUAAUGCUUUGGGGUUAUUGCUGAUGUCUUUCUUGUGUUUCUUCUCAAAUUCUUGCAUAAAGUGGGUCAGCAUUCUAUUAUCAAAAUCUUCACCCCCGAGAUGCGUAUCUCCUGCAGUAGCUUUCACCUCAAAAAUCCCAUCUUCAAUUUUAAGGAGGGAAACAUCGAAGGUACCACCCCCAAGAUCAAAAAUGGGACAUUAUUACCACCAAUGUUUGUGGCCUUUUUGUCAAGACCAUAUGCAAUAGCUGCGGAUGUUGGCUCAUUAAGGACACGCAUCACAUUCAUGCCUGCUAUCACACCAACAUCUUUUGUCGCCUGUCAUUGAAAGCUAUUGAAGUAUGCCAGGACUGUUAUAACAACUUUGUUUACUGUCUGUCUCAAGUAGGCCUCUGCAAUUUCACGCAUCUUACUGAGAACCAUUGAAGAUAUUUGUUCAGGGGCAAAUUGCUUCUUUUCAUUUUUGUAGUUGACCACAAUCAUUGGCUUGUCACCCGCACCACGAACCAAGGGCCAUAAUUUCAUAUCACUCUAAACACAUGCAUCACUAAAUCUUUUACCUAUUAAUCGUUUUGCAUCAAAAACAGUGUUGAUUGGAUUGGCGGUGACUUGGUUCUUGGCAGCAUCACCGAUCAAUCGCCAUUCAUUAGUGAAAGCAACAUAGGACGGUGUUGUUCUGUUGCCUUGAUCAUUGGCUAUGAUCUCUACACGAUUGUGUUGCCAAACCCCAACGCACGAGUAAGUAGUUGGUGCCUCGCCUUUUGCUGAUAAUGCCAUUAUCAAUUGGAUGUGUUUGUGAAGAUAUAUUUGUUUUAGACAAACUGAGACAAUCGAAACAAGCUUGAAACUAAUGGGUCUGAUUUGCAAGUAUUUAUAACGAGAGAUUCAACACACGAAUAAUGUAGCAGUGUUCCGUUAGGAAACUGGAUUCCUAGGUUUUCCUAGUAAGAAAAGUUAGGAAAACAACUAUCUCCGAGUCCUUUAUUUAUUUGCAAUCCUAAUUGUUCCAAGAAUCCUAAUUGUACUGGUCCUUUGGCUCCAUCAGCAAUUUUCUUCUUCUGAUGAGAUACAUCGAACAUUGUUCGACGUGUUAUAUUAAUUUGAGAAACAUCGAUCUUUGCCUUCAUCAGCAAUGUUCUUAUGUUUGGAUCCAUCAAACAUAUACAGGAUGUCGUACUUCAAUAUGAAACUCGUCUUUUGCAGAAACCUAUAUGAAGGAGCAACCCAGAAAACUUUGGUGUAUUCCAGACUACGCCCCUGCAUGUGUUUAAUCAGCCCAGAAAUAUAAAGCUUACGACGACGCCGGUCAGAAGCCAAGCUUGAUCGAGUGUAUAAAUUGGUUUAUUCGCAAGACAAGCAAAAUCAACAGUUACAUGACUUGCAUCGUUUUCCUCUGUAUGUCCUUGUCAGGAGCGGGAAAAGAAUCGAUGAGUCGGUCCUUAUUUCGUUUCUCUAAAAAGAGGAAAAAACUUGGGUGACAAGGUCUGGUUACUAACGAUGACAAACACCAAUGAAGAAAUGACACGUGGCCAGAAAAACAAUUAAAUAUAAAUACAAAUUACCAAUAACCCCUUACAGUGCCCUCAAAGUCAAACCUAAACUCUUUAACGGGACACGUAUCCCUUCUCCAUUGGUGUUAGUCAUUUGCAAGUGACCAUACAUGGUCACCGAAGUCGAGUCUUUAAAAAAGACAGGUCAAGUGUUUAUUUAGUUUUUGUUGUUUGUUGAGAAUGUGGAAUUACCGUUGAACACAAAGUGUUAUUCGUGCGUAAUAAUUUAAUUAAUCAACUUUUUUCCAUCUGCGGUUGAUACAGAUGCCACAUGUUAACAGAUGACCGGCGUGUCAGGCGUCAUUAACCAAAAAGUAAUGUACCACAGACCUAAAAAGUAUCACGAGCCGCCAUCGUUUCGUCGUAUUCCAAAAAAAAGAAAAGAAAAUUAGCCACUCUUGCGAUGGUGGCUGCAAAAAGGGCCUAUAGAUGCAGAGUAAUCCGAUCGGCAAACCUGUCCUCUGCGCUUCGGUAUUUCUUGCUGCUGUUUUUGCAGUUGGGGUUGGGGAGAGAUGUCUAUGGAUGGCGAAAGCGUUGGACAUUGAUUUUGGGCUCGAACACAAGAGAACAAUUCCCUAUCCGAUGCCAAAUUCAGGGUUUGUUUGCUUUUCUGGGUCAAGCUUUAAUAUUAUUACGACAGGAUCUUUACCAGGUUCAAUUUUAAUUUGUCAGAUCUGUCUGCAGGCAGACUCUAAGGGACCGGACCGAGGACGGAGACUAAAUUGAUUUGAUGUACAGAUUUAUGUAGGGAUUGAUUGAAAGCGGAGCUCCACCGAAACCCUGAUUUCCGAGUAAUACUCCAGUCUAUUUGCAUUGAACUAACAAUAGUGAGGGGCUGAGCCUCCCACCUAAGCAGUUUUGUAAAACCCCUUAAAAAAAAAAACUAACUAAACGAUGUUCAAGUUCAGAGUUCUAAGUUAUAUAGAUCUGGGGAGAAAUCAUUAUCAUUUUAUUAAUAUCGCUAUAUUUCUGUUUAAUCCAUUUGUUAUUAGUUUCCAAGUUAUAUCAUAAGGUGGCGUUCAUUUUUUUUCUUUAGUGCUCAUGCUUAUUGAGGUUUAUACUCGUAGCAUUUUACAUACUAUAGAGAUGUAUUGGGAGUAACAACCCAAAAGUGUUCAAGAUUAAAACAUUUGAAAUCUUCAUUUGUAAACACAUAUAAACAAGAGAGUGAGUGUAGUUGUUAGACUAGCUAGUAGAGAGACCAGUUAGGAUAGCAACGAUCAUACCUAUUAGAGCCGUUCCCUUUUAUCAUUGCUAUCCUAACUAGUCUCUCUACUAGCUAGUCUGACAAGUACACUCAACCUCUUGUCACUCUCUUGUUUAUAAGUGAGAGAGUGUAGUUGUUAGACUAGUUAUGAUAGCAACGAUCAAAGGGAAUGACUCUAAUAGAUUUGAUCAUUGCUAUCCUAACUAUUCUCUCUACUAGCUAGUCUAACAACUACACUUACUCUCUUGUUUAUAAGUGUUUAAACACGAAGGUUUCAGAAGUUUUAACCUUGAAUCCAGCUACUUCUAAGCUGGUUGGUUAAACUCAUAGCAUUUUGCAUACCUUGAGAUGAGUAGUUGCAUAAUUGGAUCAGCUUAAAUGUAGCUGGAUUCAAGGUUAAAACUUCUGCAACCUUCAUGUGUAAAUACUUAUAAAUAAGAGAGUGAGUGCAGUUGUUCGACUAGCUAGUAGAGAGACUAGUCAGGAUAGCAACGAUCAUAUCUAUCAGAUUCAUUCCCUUUGGUAUCAGUUCUAUGUUAGUUUUUAUGUUAUAUAAACAUGGUGAGCAUCAUAAGGUGGUGUUCGGUAUUGUUAUCAUGCCUGUAUUUUCAUGUUUUGUGCUCAUGCGUAUUGGGGUAUAGCUUUUUUGUUCAAGCCCAUGUCUAAAUCCUUCUUCUUUUUGCUGUUUGUAUUAUCUAAUUAAUUUUUUUUUUUUUUUUUUUGUCUCUCUGAUAGUUUAGUGUCCAUCCCUUUGGUAUUAGUUUAUAAUACAUGGUGAGAAAUCAUAAGGUGGUGUUCAGUAAUGUUUUCAUGCCAUAUUUUCAUUUUUUGUGCUCAUGUUUAUUGUGGUAUAGAUCUUUUGUUCAAGUUCCUAUACAUCGUUGUAGAGCUCUAUGUAUUAAAAUAAUACUGGUUUUUUGUGCUCUUUAUUGGAUUAGAGUCCUUCCCUUUGGUAUUAGAUCCUAAGUUAUAUAAACAUGGUGUUAUUUUAGAAGGUGGUGUUUGGUAUUAUUUUAGAAGGUGGUGUUUGGUAACAUUUUUAUGCUUUUAUAUUUUAGAAUAUUAAUACUCUGGAAAUGUGUUUUCGUGACGUAUUCUACUUUUUUUUUUUUUUUUUUUUGAGGUAGAAAAUAUGGAAAUAUAUUGAUGCUUUAAACUAUUGAACAUGUUUUCAAAUUUUAUUAAGUAUUAGUAUUAUGAAUAGAUUAUUUCGUGUACAGGAGUUAUUGCAGAACUGCAAAUCAAAUCGAUUUAUUCAGUUUCUUCAGAAUUAAGGAUAGUUUUCUUUUUGGUAUUUUAUCAUGAUGGAGAGCUUUCUCAAGUUCUUAAAGCAAAUGUUUUAUCUAAACUAAUAUUGUUAAAAGAUGCUGAUUAGCUAAACCUUUUUUUUUUUUUCUCUCUCAGGUCUUACCCAGACACUCAGAGAUUACAGAGGACAAAGCUCUUGAUUUGAUGUAGAGGUGAAGAUGGCGCAUGCACUACUUGGAAUAGGGCUAAAGCCUAUGAUAGGUAGCGACGUUUACCCGUAGGUUUGUUUCUAAUUUAGGGUGCAACCCUUCUGGUUACGGGUGUUAUAUUCAUCCCAUGACAUUGUCUAAUAUGAAUGAAACAUCGCAUCUAUGAGAGUAUUAUUUUUGAUAUCAAUAGCCACUUUAACUAUUUAACUGUGUUUUUCAGAAGUUUAACUAACGAAGAUCCAGAAGAAUGGAUCUGGGCUUUGGAAAAGAUGAAGAUGCAAAGGGUAAAGACAUGACUGCUUGGUCCAACCUAGAAAGACAUGGGACUUGAUGGGCGUUUUUCAUAUGAAAUCCUUAUUCCUGAUGUGCUAAGAAGAAAAAACAGAAUAGAAUCGGUGGCACGAGUUAGCUAGGAGGGCGAGUCAGGUUUUGGUUUCUUCCUGAUUUCAUUCUUCAGCUGCAUGAUAUUCUGGAGAUCAACUUUCUUUCGACAACAGAUCUUGACUGGAAUGUUGAGUGCGCCGUGUAUUAUAAUCAGAGAGGGAGCUUAUGUCAUUGCAUUACAAUGUUGUGAUGCAUAUCUUCCUCAAAAGUGCUUGAACAUGAGAUUUUCACUGUGUUUCUUGGGACUUGUGGACUCAUGUAAAUUGACAUACAAGCUUUGCGCCGCCUACUGGUCCAUACAUCUCUGCUGAUGGCUCUGGCACCUCUCUCUCUCUCUCUAUAUAUAUAUAUAUAUAUAUAUAUAUCUGCUGAUGAUCCAGGCACUAUUUAUUCGAUAAGAAACAAUAAUACUCUCAAUGUGAUUUCUCUUCUGAAGUUAUGUUAUUGGAAGAAGUUCUGGAAGCUACCGAAUUGGCUCACUGCCCCAGCAGCUCUCAGUUUCAGGUACUAUUGUAAGUAUUAUCUUUAUUUUUUACUUGGUUUGUUGUUUCUUCCGUGUUUUAUCUGUUUACGCACAUGGAUGGACACAAUAUUUGCUUCAUUAGUCCAUAUUCUGUUAAAUAUUUGUCCAGUGGAACAAUCUUAAUAUUGUGAAAAUAUUUGUUUUUUGUGUUGAGUUCAUUGAUAUGCCAAACUAUUCCCUUUCAAAGCUUGAGGAGGUGGAGUGUUAUGCUAGGAGCCUGGUAGUUCUCCCCAUUAUCUCAAUUCCACAUCUGGGAUUGAUAACUUAAUGGUGUCUUGCACACAUCUAACAUCUCACAUUUAGAAAGCAUCAUAAAUCCAUUUCUAACCAGUACAGUUACUACUUUGUGGCGGAUUCAUCUGCCUGAAAUAGUUGACUGACAAUUAAAUGGUUUCCCUUGGUCGGAACUGGGAACUGUUGAUUUACAUUAGUAAUUGACUAAUUGUGUAUGGAACCUGUCUGUGUCAACGUACAAGUUGCCACAACUCCAAAGAGUUAUCCAUGAUUUCUUGGUGUUUUUGGGUGCAUGCACCAAAACCUUGAUAUUUUCUUUAAUAAGUGUAAUUCCUCAAUCAUGUCAAUUGGAGAGAAAUGAUUCUGAUUGUACGCUGAGUUUCUAAGGUCUAAAGUCUCAACCUUAUGCUCCCUGGCGUAAAGUUGCUUCGCCCGGAUGCUUGCUGAAGACUAACGGUGGUGUGCAAAGGUAGGCUAAGAUUCUGCCGUUGACUUGACAUUUACAUUUAAUAAUAAUCUGGGAACGAAAAUUUUGGUUGGUAUCUGCCAAGGGGAUUUUUGAAGAUGGUUGGCCUCUUAAAUCAUUUGAAGUUGGGAACUAUAGGUAUCAUUGGUUGGUAAGCUUUAUGGUGCUUAAUUUAAUUAUUGAGGCAGAUUAUGAGCAUUUUUGCUCUUCACAUUUACUUUUACUUUAUUAUUAUUAUAUAUCUAUUUGUUGUUAGGACUGUUCAUAAGGAACAGUGCUAUCAGUGUUUAACAGUGUUGGUUGUUGCUGUUGGGCCUGCAGCAACAGUGUAAUGACCAGUUUUGCCCUUUGUCUCGCUGGCCGCCUCUUGAAGCUUCCAGAGCGAGCUCAAAUCUUCGCUUCUCCUUUUUUCCUGUGAUUGAACCCAGCUCUUUUUGAUCCACCCUUUCUCUUGCUCGUCGCCUCCUGAAGCUUCUAGAGCGAACUCGAGACUUUCUCCUUUUUUCCUCUCUUUAUCCUUCUGCGCUCUCUCUCUCUCUCUCUGUCAGUCUUUCUGUCUCAGAAAAGAUUGCCACUUCCAUGUCUCUUUCGUUUUGGUUUUGUUUUGUGAUUGAUUUCUAUUUGCUGGAAGGAAGCUUGGAAUCUGGAAUUGGUACUUUCCACUAUCCUCUUUUGUUUCCAAAUUAGAAUCAUUAUAGUUACUCUUUCUCUUACUCCGUUAAUCUCAUUCUUCUUCGGCAUCUGUUUCUGGGUUUGUCCUCAGAUUGAGAGAGAAAAAUAAUUGUUGAUGGGUAUUGUUUGAGGUUUGGAUUCUGAAUAUUGAAUAGAAUUUUUUAUUUUAUUUUGGCAUAUUAACAAUCAAUGUCUUUUGCUCUGAUUCUAAUUCUAAUGGAGUGCUAAAUCUUCUGGGUUUCGUCUGUUUUUGCAGUUACUGGCUUACUACUGUAGACUCUGGAAGUACUGCUUUACAAUUUAUAGUUUGAAUGAUGAAGUGGAUCAAACUGACAUUGCAAAAGCUCUUUCCGUGUCUCCAAACAUUCAUCAUCAGGUAUUUCAUUUUUGGGUUGUUUCAUUUGUGGGAUUUUCUUACUUUUUUUUCUUCGUGUGACAUUAUGUAGCUUUGAUUUAUCAAUAUCUGAUUCCAUUUCUCAGCUCUUGCUGGGGGAUGUAAACGUGAAUUUGUUCAUUACAGAUUACUGUAUGCGGGGAAUGACAGGCUAUGAUCUCCUCCAAAUGAUUAAGGUAAGCUACAAGGCCUGACACCAGUAUAAUGAUUUUGGCUUCUCAAAACCGGUGCAUUAUUGCGGCUAACAAGAAGUGAUCUUUGUAUUACCAAGUUGUAUGUAUCUCACAGUUGCAAAUGUAGCCUGUGAUUUCAAAAUCCUACCUGUUCCCAUGAUGCAUAUCUCUUUCUAUCGUUUAGCAGAUCUUAAAGAAUGUGAUCUAAGCUCUAAAGCAUCGUCCUUAGUAGGGACGAUAUGGGUUAGAUGAGAUUCAACAACUUUGCAUAAUGUUUCCUUAAUUUGGUGAAUUACAAUGCAUGUAUCUAAAUAUAGUGCCUCGCUAAAUUUGCAGGAUUGACAUACCAGUUGCUACCAUGUCCUCAGUUGUUAAUACAUGAUUCUAAGUAGCAAAUGGAUAAACAGGUAGCUUUGAGUUAUGUCAUAAUCUUAUGUCUUUAUGAAUCUAAGCUAAUCUAUCACUUGAUGACUUUGCAUUUGGAAACUUCAAUUGCAAGUCUUCGGAGCAUGUAUAAAAUGUCUGGCUGACGUUGUUACUCUGUUUCAGAGGGAAACGAUUGGGAAUGCCGUCAGUCUUGAUCUGCUGCCUAAAGAUUUAGGAUAGGCACAUUAAGGUAAAGCUAACUCUAAUUUUGCUAUUUACAUAUGGUUGAAAUAUGCUUCUAUAUAUAUGCUUAGCCAAAAACCAAUUAUCAAAAGUGAAUAUCAAGAGUGCUCUCUUGGCUUUUGAGAAAUAAGGUGGAGAUUGAUGAUAAGGAAAUUGUCUUUACGUUCUUUUUACCAUUUGAAAAUUGUAUAUUACUGGUUAUUGUGCAAUGAUUUUGCUCAGUCUCUGGAAUAAAUUUUCUUGGUUGAGUUGUUCAGAAAUUGUAAUUUUGUACUGUUAAUUGGAGAUUUCUUUCUAUUAUUAAUCUUAAAAACAAUCUGAUACCAAUGCAGGACAGGAUGUUGAUGCUUUGCAAUUUAGUACAUAUUGAUUAUCCAGAAAUGUCGAGGACCAGUUAAUCGAAGCUUCAGAAGAGAAAUGUGAAAGUCGUUUUAAGGCUACAACUCGAUGCUACAUAUGUAAGUUCUUUACUUUUAGGAUUUGCUGAUUCAUUUUCUCCGGUCUUUACUUUUAGAUUCAACUCCCAGGGAGCAUACACCAAAACAAAAUAACUUCGGACAUUACAUAUUCUCGCCAAUGGAAUGAGGAUAUGAUUGAGGCCGAAAAUUUAUUGGUUAAUGGCCAAAAACUUAUAUGAACCAAAAUAUGCAUUUUGUUUUUCUAUAGCUUGAGAGGAAACAAUUGUCUAUAUAUCUAGCAGCUGCAUUACAACAAGACUAAAUAGAUAUCCAGGAAGUGGUACGGUUUUAACUGCUCUAGACUUCCCUGCAUUAUUUAGAUGCUCAUUCUCCAACUCGGACCAUUGAAAUAAAUUGAUCAUUAGAUCCAGCAAUCAAAAAGACGAGUUUAGUUUCAUGUUAAUGUCAUAUGGCUGCACAUGUCGACUGAUAUAUAUGAAGAACAGCCUUUUAAAAGUUCCAUAACCCUCUAAUGACUUCAAGGAAGAAUAGCCCUGUUACUCUGUAGUCCACAUGUCCAAAACAUGAAUGAUGAACAGUUUGCAACCAAGCUAGCCUGAGAACAAGAUUUAAUCCCUGCACAACAUGCAUAAAAUUAUUCAAAAUCAGAUUAGGAAGCCAUCAAACUGGUAAGAUCUAAGCUGAAACCUUGAAGUAGACUGUAUGUAUGUAAACUUAAAAGCAAUCAAAUCAUGUUUCUGAUUGAUUUCUAUUUGCUCUCUAUAUUCAUGGCAGACUGACUUUGUAGUUAGGUAUUACUGAGCACUUACCGAAGAAGUUUACAUUUUUUUUUUCAAUUGCCCAGUCCUAUCAUAACAAUAAAUUUCUUGCUUUACAUAGGUUCCGAUGCUCACAAACCUCGAGUAUGCGACAUGUUACUACAUAACUGGAUGCUACAAACCUCAGGACCAUUGCUAUUGCAUGAAGGCCACACAUUACCGUGAUCUUGCUUAUGCUGUGUCCUUCCUGCCUUAUUACUGGAGAGAUGCAGGUAAUGCUCCUAGGCUAUGUUGCUCCUUUUAUAUUUAUCUGUAUUGCCUUUUCUUUUUCAAUUGACCAAUAGAUAUCUCAGUAUCUCACGCAUUACCUUGAGCAGUUUAGAGCAGAUGAUUUCUGUAAACAUCUGAUGUCGUUUGAUAGCCAUUCUUCAGUCUAUCCAUAUGUUAUUAAUUAGCUAAUUUAUUUGGAAGAACCUUUCCUUCACUGAGAAAUCUUAUAUGGGAAUACAGUUCAGAGUGUUCAUCUCUAACUAGCAUGGAUCAAAGUGUGAAAAGAAAGUUUCCUCUCCAUGUAACUUUUCCUGUUAUCUAUGUAUACUGAUGCUUAGAUUAGGACCAUUAUUACUCAUGUUUUAUUCACCAUUAGUGAGCUUCUAGGUAUGAUGACCACUGUCAAGCUUAGCUCUGCAUGUUUAUUUGGGCAUCUUUCACAAUUAAUGAUUUAGUUAAAUAGUUUGACGUUUCCUUCUAAUAUUUUCUUUUACAUGCUCUUUGGGUCUUUACUUUUACUACCAUUAGAUUGCUAAUUUAAAAAGCUAAACUUGCUCAUUUCAUGAUUCGAAUGUUUCAGUUCACAGUAGCUCAAGGCGCUCUAGCUUGCCACCUAAAUCAGAUCAGAAGUUCUCAUGUUUCAGAUGGGACAUUUUUGUGAAAGGGUGCUAAGAAGCAGAGGUUGCCAUGAUUCCCUUAAAUCCUGCCCACCCUAAUACUUUAUAGGUUGGUCCUGACGUUGAGGCAUUCCCAAACUAAUACUAUGGUUGAUGCGUGUAGAGAAAAGGGAGAAGUUUAUCAAGGCGUGGAGUUGAUGACUAGCAGAAGAAGUCCACUUAUGGUUUGGUCAUGUGGGCACUCAAUUUUGCAACGACUGAAAUCCUGCCGGCCUGUGAACAUUUUCUUGAUGUUUUGGGGGUGAAGAAGAACUUUGCAGCUUUUACGGGUAAAGGCAAGUGCAGCUGCAUUCCGUUUUCUUACAUUACAAUGUAACAUGAUUAUCCUUUGGUCUAGGCAUUAUCAGUACAUAUGUGAAGUUAAUAGCAUUAGAAGUUAAUUGGUGCAUCUGGGUAUUGCAUGUGUUUUCUAAUUAGUAUUGGUGUCUCAACUGCUAAGACGGUGUCGUAUUUGUAAGGAAACUCUGGUGGCCAUUUCACUUAAUAAUAUAUUUUGUAAUUACUUAAAAAGGAAAGAAAAAAAAGAGUUGAAUAGAAAAUGAAAAGAAAUGGUGAAAAUUACUUAUGAACCCUCCCGUCCCGGCCCGUCCCCUUCCCUUCACCUCACUUACCCUACCUUAUAUAAGCCCUCGUACCUUAAUCCCUAAACACAGCAGCAAUUUAGAAAAUCAACAUCCAUUACCAAAACUCUAGCUCAAAAAUGGGUUACUCAUACGUCGGUUACUCCAACGGCAACAUGAAGCUUAAGGCUACUGCAAAGUACGAUGGUGCUUCAUCCAAGGUGAUCUCCAACUAUCAACGCAAGGACCUCAUCAUCUAUCUGAUCUGGCUUCGGGGCCCGAUUCGUAAAAGGCGGUGAAUGGCGGGAUCAUGAUUCGCAAACCCAAGGGGAAGAGCACGUAGUCCCAGAAUAAAUGUAAUUUUCUUUUAAGACUUCUUUAAUUACUUUCCGUUUUGGGCUUGGUACUCUAACAACAGUCUAUUUCAGUAUGCUUAUGGAUUUGUAUGGAUAAGUUUUGGAUUAUAUUAUUAGUCCUUGGGUUUUGUGCGAUUAUUAUUGUGCUUUUUCUAUAUUGUGGGUUUAGUUUUUUCCUUUCUAGUUUUAGUUUAAGGGAGGGAAUCACGUUCCUAAAUCCCUGUGCCAAUUACUUGUGGAUUCCACUCUACUGGGCUUGCUGUCUUGAUUUAUAGUAAUUUAAAAGUGAAUUGAGGGAAGACAAUCUUAUUGUAGGAUACUGGGUAUUCCCAUUAUAGGGAAAGUGGUACAUCCUCGACUGGACUCUCAUUCUGUGUUUUUAAAGGAAGUGAGACUUGAAACUUAUCAAGGAUACUGGGUAUUCCCAUGAAUUGAAUGUGAAACAAAUGAGACUUGAAUCUUACUAAAGAUAUUGGGAAGUUAUCGUUUACCAUAAAUAGUUGGCUUGUUAUGGUCAGGAUUAAUUGAUAGUCUAGUCUUAUUAUGGUGGGUGUGGUACUGCUUUACAGUUUUGGGUGGGUGGCCUGAAGUGGAGUUUAAUCAUAUCAAGAUGUUGGGUCAGUGCUUUACAAUCACUGAUAGGUUAGGCAUUGUCUUGGAUAUUAAGUGGUGUGAAGAGAGCUGAAGAUGGAUGGGAUGUUAUAUUCUCUACUAUUAGUGAAUCAGGAUUAGAGUUUGGAGUCUGCUUAUCAGGCAUUUAGUGAGAGUUUAAAUAAAACCAAAAUGUUGGGAAGUGCUUUACAGAUUACAAUCAGAGGUAUGUUAUGUAUUGUCUUGCAUUGCUUUGGAUUAGGGGAAGUGCUUUAUAGAUUAUGUAUUGUCUUGUAUUGCCUUGGCUUAUUAGUGGAACAAGAGUGCUCAAAGUUGGAUGGGGGUAUUAUCUUCACUGCUGUAAGUGAAUCUGGAGAUGGGAGUGGUUUGGAGUCUGCUUAUCAUGCAUUUAGGUAAAUUCUUAUGUUGUGCUGCUUAGUGAGUAGAAUAUCUUAUCAGACAUAGGAUUGUGUAAAAGUGAAUCUUGUCAUGGGUGUAAACUGAGUUUAACCCUCUGCCCUCUGGUCUUUGUCAUACAUGUGUGCAUUUGGUGCCACUGUAUGGCUGCAGAAUAGGCACAAGGCUAGUGAUGUUCAUUCUUUGUCAUAUUGUGAUGUGCAUUUGGUGCAACUGUGUGGUCUUUGUCAUAUUGUAUAUCCCUCAACCGCCAUGGUUUGAAUGGAUUUAUAUAAGCACUUCGAAGUUGACAUCCUCCUCAUAUUGCCUUAUAGGUCAGUGCUUUACAUCUUGGUAUUGCAGUAUUUAGUUGAUAUCCUCCUCAUAUUGCCUCAUAAGUACAUAAUGGAUGGCCAAGAUUUCUCCAACAUUGUUUAGUUGAUAUUUUCGUUUAUCUAUCCCAAAAUUUCGUUUUUCUCAUCUUUCUCAAAAUCUCUCUCUCUGUCUCUCGUUAGCGGGCGGAGUCCGGCCGAGCCAUUGAUUGAUACAAGUAAUCAAAUUAUUAUCAAUCAAUGGAGUAGGAAUUUGAUGGGUCAAGGCCUUGGUAUUGGGAUAGAUGAUUCAUCGAAUCAGUGCUUUGUAGAAUCUUGGCCGAUGGCCAUCCAUUAAGAUUGGAUAGUUCAGAUUUACUUAUUACCACAUAAGAGAGGAUCCCAGUUACAGGUGCGCGGUGUUAAAAAAAGGAUCGACCUUUUCGUCUUUUUAACAUUAUGGUAAAGAGGUCAAUUUUUUAUACACACUUAUUUUGUUAUGGGUGACCAUGUGGGAUGAGAUAGAAAUAAAAUAAAUUAGUACGUGAGCCGUGAGAUAGUUUAUUGAGCCAAGCUGAGAUAGUUCGAAAACUUUUUGGUAAUUAAGUAGACCACCAUGAGAAGUUGAGAACAGUAAUGCUCACCAUGUAUGGCAACUAAUACACAAUCGAGUUUCAUUGCUUUUAGAGUUUUAAGGUCCAUGAUCCCAGAGAGCACCUACUCCAGGCACGUCUGGGAAGACCCACAGGUCCAUACUCAUCUUUCUUUGGUGAGUCCUUUAUUUAUUUAUUUAGAAUCCUAAUUGUACAAGUCUGCUAGCUCUUCCUAAAUAGGUAUCUCCCAAAAGUCAAAGCUCCCAUCUCGGGUCGGGAUUUGUUAUAGAAAAUACAUUAGUUUGAGGGGAGCCCUUCUAGUGAGGACCCUUAAGUUGAGGACUUGGUGAGGACUUUUCGGUUUAUGGUUUAAAAGACCUAAUUUUCGAUCACAUUUUGACAUCUCAUCCGUUCAGUUUUUAGGUUUAUAUGAGUAUAUCAUUUCUACAAAUUUUCACCCAAAUUAGUGUUCGUUAAGAUAACAAACUAUAUCAAAUUAAUGGACGAACCAAAUCUGUCAAAUAUGAACCGUUCAAGUUCAUAAUUGAUAAAUCACACUUAUGAAUGCCUUAAUAAUUUUCAAUAUAGCUGAAAAUUUGAAGAAAUGAUCCACUCAUAAAUACCUAUAAACUGAACGGUCAAGAUGUGGAUAUAAGAUCGAAAGGUGGGAUAAACCGAAAAGUCCUCACCAAGUCUUUAACUUAAAGGUCCUCACUAGAAGGGCUUCCUUAGUUUGAGUAUGGGUUUCUAGCGUUGUACUGAUAGCAGAUGAAACAGAAAGAAGAGAGACCAAAUGAAGGGAAACACCAAAACAGGGUAUGGAUUUAACUGUAGAUUGAUACAAAUUAACUACCAAAACAGGGUAUCAGCUACACUAAACAUAAGAUCACGAUUUAUGAAAUUCAGUAUGUUCACAACCUACGUAGGGCAGAAGAGCUAAAUCCCUUCUUGUUAUAUUCAUCCUCCUCUAACUUGUACUUUUCUUCUAUCUUGAUCAUCUUCUCGAUUUCCACGUUAGAUAACACACCUCUGUAAUUCGAAAUGGUGAUCGUGUUCUUGAUUUGGAGCCGUUUUUCCUCAGCGGAUACAAUCAAAAUUCCAUUGGCAUCGAUCUCAAAACAAAUAAUAAUUUGAGGUUUACCUUUUACACCACGAGGAAUACCAUUGAGCACAAACUCACCCAGCAAUUUAUUUUUUUUGGCUAUUGUUUCUUCGCCCUCAUACACAGGAACUAUCAAACCAGAUUGGUUAUUUACGAUAGUUGUGGCGAAUUUAGUUUUCUUAGUGGGAAUGGUAGUGUUUUUUGGGAUGAAAACCUCAAAUGCAUCUGUGUGAGUCUCCAAACCAAUGGACAUGGGAGUUACAUCCAACAAGAGCAAGUCUUGCACCUUCUCAAUGUCACCCUGCAAAACUGCAGCUUGUACCGCAGCGCCAUAUGCAACUGAUUCAUCAGGAUUGAUACUUUUGCAAAGCUCCUUACCAUUAAAGAAAUCUUGCAAUAGCUGUUGUAUCUUGGGAAUUCUACUAGAUCCACCAACAAGAACAAUAUCUUGAAUACUAUUUAUAUCCAUUUUAGCAUCCCCUACACAAUCCUCCACGGUCUUCAUGCAUUUUCUAAAGAGAUCCAUGUUAAGCUCUUCAAAUUUUGCUCUUGUUAUUUUAGAGUGGAAAUCGAUACCCUCGAAUAAAGAAUCUAUUUCAAUGGUGGUUUCAGCAGUCGAAGAAAGAGUCCUCUUUGCUCGCUCACAAGAUGUUUUCAUUCUUCUUAGUGCUUUGGGGUCAUUGCUGAUGUCUUUCUUGUGUUUCUUCUCAAAUUCUUGCCUAAAGUGGUUCACCAUUCUAUUAUCAAAAUCUUCACCCCCGAGGUGUGUAUCUCCUGCAGUAGCUUUCACCUUAAAAAUCUCAUCUUCAAUUUGAAGGAGGGAAACAUCGAAGGUACCACCCCCAAGAUCAAAAAUGAGGACAUUAUUACCACCAAUGUUUGUGGCCCUUUUGUCAAGACCGUAUGCAAUAGCUGCGGAUGUUGGCUCAUUAAGGACGCGCAUCACAUUCAUGCCUGCUAUCACACCAGCAUCUUUUGUCGCUUGUCGCUGAAAGUUAUUAAAGUAUGCGGGGACUGUUAUAACGACAUUCUUUACUGCAUGUCCAAGGUAGGCCUCUGCAAUUUCACGCAUCUUACUAAGGACCAUUGAAGAUAUUUGUUCAGGGGCAAAUUCCUUCUUUUCAUUUUUGUAGUUGACCAUAAUCAUAGGCCUGUCACCCACACCACGAAUCUUAAAGGGCCAUAAUUUCAUAUCACUCUUAACACACGCAUCACUAAAUCUUCUUCCUAUUAAUCGCUUUGCAUCUGAAAGAUAGUAAACAAGAGCAUUCAUUAGUUACGAAUAGUCAAAGUUAAUUAAGUGAAUAUUGUAAAUAUGACUAUCACUGAUAAUGGUAUAAAUCCAUGAAAAAUAUAAAAUAAAAGUCCAACGACGACAAAGUUUGGAUAGAAUCCAGUUUAACUUGAUUAAUUGAAGUUUGAACUUUGGUACCUGGUGAAAUCUAUAUACACGUUUUGAAUUUCAUAUAGGGAAGUCAUGUAAUUGAUAGCCAAUGUAAAAAAACAGAGAAAGAAAAAAAGCUCAUAUACAUAUUACAUUAGAACAACCAGCUAAAUAUUUAGUAUGAAAUUGAUGACGUACCAAAAAUAGUGUUGAUUGGAUUGGUGGUGACUUGGUUCUUGGCAGCAUCACCGAUCAACCGGCAUUCAUUAGUGAAAGCAACAUAGGACGGUGUUGUUCUGUUGCCUUGAUCAUUGGCUAUGAUCUCUACGCGAUCGUGUUGCCAAACCCCAACGCAUGAGUAAGUAGUUCCAAGAUCGAUGCCGAUAGCUGGAGCCUCGCGUUUUGCUGCUAAUGCCAUUAUCUAUCAAUUAUAAGUAGAGCUUGUGUGUAUUUGUUUUAGACGGACAGAGACAAUUGAAACUAAUAGGUCUGAUUUGCAAGUAUUUAUAACGAGAGGUUCAACACACGGAUAAGAGUGCAAUAUUCCGUUAGGAAACUGGAUUCCUAUGUUUCCUUAGCAAGACACUUAAUCCUCGCUGGACUAGAACAAAUUAAAGCAGACACCCAUAUAUUUAUUUAGAAUCCUAAUUGGGCCAUGAAUCCUAAACAAGCAUAUAUCUCCAAGUCCCAACGCAGCUUCAAUUUUCAACCCCCCUCAGUAGCUCAUCAGGAUUGAUUGUUCUAACUGCCGCACAUAGAUAUUUGUUUGCCACACUCCUGUGAUCGAUCCGUAAUUUUAUCCCACUUCUAUAUUAGACAAUGAUCUUUCUCUCUCGCUCGAAUUGCAAUAACGAGACGGUGUACACUUCACCAUGGUGACGUAAUCCAACUGACUGGUGCAGUAAGAAUCUAGUCGAACUAGGUUAAGAUAUUAGGAUAUUAAUCCUAGUCUAACAUGAAUUAAAAUUCUGUCAUUCCUAUUUGAUUGUGGAUCACUCAAAUGAAUAAGCAAUAAGCCAUGGUAUUAGCCACAACUCUAUGUAACCUUUCACAAAUAUUAGCAUCACGAUGUUGUUUGAUGUCCCAAGUAUAGGAUAGGAACUUCCUGUAAAUGAUAGUGAAACCACUCCAGCUUGAUUCAAGAAGUCUUGAAAUCGAAUCAUACAAGUAGUAGUGACUUGGGAACCUCCUUUUUUUUUUUUUCCUAGAAUGUUUAGUAUAUUGUUAAAAUCUCCUAACAUGAUCCAUGGAUCAGUAACAGUGGGCUUUAAUGUAAGCAAAUGAUCCCAUAAACUGAUCUGAUUUGGUUGGUGAGAGUACAUGAAUAAAAUGAUAUACAAAACUUCAUACCGGUACGUACAUGUAAGCCAUAAGCAUGAAUAUAUCCAUCAUUGUUACAAAAAAGAAAAAAAAGAAAAAGAAAAAAAAAGAAUAUAUUAUUAACAUCAAGGAUAUGGGUAAACUUAAAGUGUGUUAAUAUAUGUCAUGCAUCAACUUUGUCCUACAGUUAUAGAUUGAGUCCUCAUAGUAGUAAUAUUAGUCCUCAAAAUUGUAAUAUGAGUCAUUAAAGUUGUAGUAUGCCCUUCAAAUUUUGCUCUUGUUAUUUUAGAGUGGAUGUCGAUACCCUCAAAUAAAGAAUUAAUCAAGCUCGAUGGUGGUUUCGGCUUUUAAAGAAAGAGUUCUUUUUGCUCUCUCGCAUGAUGUUCUCAAUUUUCUCCAUGUUGUUAUGUGCUUCUUCUUGAACUCUUGCACAAAAUGGUUCACCAUUCUAUCAUCAAAAUAUUCACCCUUGAGAUGUAUAUCUCCUGCAGUAAUUUUCACCUCCAAAAUCCCAUUUUCAAUUUUAAGAAGGGAAACAUCGAAGAUACCACCCCUAAGAUCAAAAAUGGGGACAUUAUUGCCACCAAUAAUUGUCGCCUUUUUUUUUUUCCCCAAACCGUAUGCAAUAGUUGCGGAUGUUGGCUCAUUAAGGACACGCAUCACAUUCAUGUCGGCUAUCACACCAGCAUCUUUUGCCGCCUGUCUAUGAAAGUUAUUGAAGUAUGCCGGAAUCGUUAUAAUUAGAUUCUUUACUGUCUAUCCGAGAUAGGCUUCUGCAAUUUCACGCAUCUUACCGAGAACCAUUGAAGAUACUUCUUCAGGGGCAAAUUGUUUCUUCUCAUUUUUGUCGUUGAUCACAAUCAUAGGUGUCACAUCCCGACCCUUAUAUUUUUACUUUAUUUACUAGCGUGAUUAUAAUAAGAAUUUUACCGUCUCGAUCAUUGAGUAAAUAGUUUAAUUGGUCCCUAGAGGGGUUUCGGGGACGAUUAUGUGCGGAGGAUUAUUCGUAUGAGGAAAAUACGACUACGGUAAAAAUGGUAAAUUUUAGCUAGUAAAAGGUAAUUUUUAUUCGGGUAUUAUUUUUCGGGGUGUUUUUAUUUUGGAAGUUUGGUUUAAAAGGGUGUUGGUCGGCUGGGCCGAGCCAACCCAUUCUUCUUCCUUUCUCUCUCUCUCCCUCCCGAUUUUUCUUCUUCUUCCCACCCGAGUUUUUUCUCUCUACACCCAGCAGACUUCCGGCCGUCCUCCCGCCGCCGUCCGACCUCCGUUCGCCGCCGGACCGGUCCCGNNNNNNNNNNNNNNNNNNNNNNNNNNNNNNNNNNNNNNNNNNNNNNNNNNNNNNNNNNNNNNNNNNNNNNNNNNNNNNNNNNNNNNNNNNNNNNNNNNNNNNNNNNNNNNNNNNNNNNNNNNNNNNNNNNNNNNNNNNNNNNNNNNNNNNNNNNNNNNNNNNNNNNNNNNNNNNNNNNNNNNNNNNNNNNNNNNNNNNNNNNNNNNNNNNNNNNNNNNNNNNNNNNNNNNNNNNNNNNNNNNNNNNNNNNNNNNNNNNNNNNNNNNNNNNNNNNNNNNNNNNNNNNNNNNNNNNNNNNNNNNNNNNNNNNNNNNNNNNNNNNNNNNNNNNNNNNNNNNNNNNNNNNNNNNNNNNNNNNNNNNNNNNNNNNNNNNNNNNNNNNNNNNNNNNNNNNNNNNNNNNNNNNNNNNNNNNNNNNNNNNNNNNNNNNNNNNNNNNNNNNNNNNNNNNNNNNNNNNNNNNNNNNNNNNNNNNNNNNNNNNNNNNNNNNNNNNNNNNNNNNNNNNNNNNNNNNNNNNNNNNNNNNNNNNNNNNNNNNNNNNNNNNNNNNNNNNNNNNNNNNNNNNNNNNNNNNNNNNNNNNNNNNNNNNNNNNNNNNNNNNNNNNNNNNNNNNNNNNNNNNNNNNNNNNNNNNNNNNNNNNNNNNNNNNNNNNNNNNNNNNNNNNNNNNNNNNNNNNNNNNNNNNNNNNNNNNNNNNNNNNNNNNNNNNNNNNNNNNNNUGAAUACUUUUAGAAUUUUUGUAUAUUAUGUGAUAUUCAGAAGCGUUAAAUUAAGAGUGUAAUAUGAAAUUUUCGAGUUAGGGUUGUCCAUCUGCAAGGGAGAUUUUCUUAAUCUUUUCAGUAAAUUUUCCUUGGAGGUGGUCCCCGCACGACUUACUCUGGGUUUCAGGGUGAAAUUCGGGGUGGGUCGUGUCAAUAGGCCUGGCACCUGCACCACGCAUCACAAUCAUAGGCCUGUCACCUGCACCACAUAGGGGCGGCCUUUGGGUCGUGCUAUGUGUGCGGUCGCACAAGGCCUCCAAUUUUCGAGGUCCUUCGGAAAAAAAAAAUUCAUACAAAUAUGUUAUAAUUAUCAAAAAUUCUGAGAAGUUAAUAAGUGCACUUGUAGCAUAGUAGGUUAAGUCCCUUUAGUUGGUUAUUAACUUAUCAUCCACCCUAGGUCGAGGCCCUAUGGCCUACUUUUUUUAUUUUUUUCUGUCUUUUCAAGAUCAUUUGAUUCGUAUGAGGGUUGUAUCCUCAUUACAACACAAACAUCCUACAAUCUAAUAGCAAUAGUUCAUAGACAUGUUUCUAAACAAACUAAAAGCAAGAAAAUAAAAGCUCUCCAUGUGAAAAGCAUAUAUGGACUAAGAGCAAUUGUUCCGAAACAAGCAAAAACAAAAUUGAAAAUGCAAAAAGGGAAAUAGAAAAAAAAAGACUUCAAAGAACCUCCUUACCCUAGGACAUCUUCUCUUCUUCUUAGGAGGAGAAAAGACACAAUCUGAGAGAUUGACAACCUUCGAGUUAGCUAAGGCUAACGAGGCAGCGAAGGAUCUGAUAACCUCAUCAAUGGACAAAAUUUGGGUUGUUGACAAUGCUUGGCUAGGUUACGUUUUGAAAACCGAAAGAGAAUGCCAAGACGAGUGAGGCAGCAAACGAUCUCGUGACCUCGUCGAUGGAAAAGGUUUGAGAUCCCACGGCAGAGUUCGACAUAGGGUUCUUCGAACAAGAGGAGGAGGAGAUGCCAAGAAAGGCCAUGCUAGGGUUUCCUCCAAGAGAUGAUAGUGAUAAUAAGGAUGUAGAUGAGUUUUUGGAGGCUUUUGAAGACGAGGCGGUAUUAAGUGAUGGCAGGGAAGAAACCAUGGCGUUGGUUGAUCAGUUAUUUCUAAACCAAUUUAUUUUCCUUAUUCACUACUAAAUGGCCGUUUAUAGUAUGGGUAAAUAAGGGUCAUUCCCGCAAAGGACUAAAUGAAUCUAACCACUCGAAAGAUGUCACAAAAGUGACUACUGAUCCUAGCAACCAACAGUCGAAAACCUAAUCAGUUACCUAACCUAAACUAGUCAUAAAACUAUUUAGCGACACAAACUAGACUUAUAGAUGGAGUCAAACACAAAAUUUCAAAUUAAUUGGAGUUCAUUUGGUAUGUCAAAUAAAUAUUGGAAAACAGAGGAUAGAAAGUGACGAAAACUGGUUUUUGGUUUUGGUUUUGGGAAACAAUGAAAUAAAACUAGCUAGGGAAGAUGCAAUCCACCCUGACAAUCACACACAAGACAAUUUGUUCAGUUAUAGUUCAAUUAUCUAGAUGAAGAUGCUCAACUUGGUUCGGUUCGCUUGAAACACAACCUAUUACCCUUUCUUACUUCGUACGCUAGGCAGAAAGUGCUCUACACAAACUAUUCUCAAGCAAUACAAACCUAACUUAUUAGAUUAAACAUGUAGAGAUCAUUAAGUUCUAAAAGAGUUUGAG